GCGGUGGCCCUGCCCUCGCUUGGCCAAAGUCCUCGAUAACCGGGCUCGGGGUAAAAGAACCCACGACGCCUAAGGCGUCAAGGAACACUGUGCCUAGCCUGGGGACGCGGACGGCUUGCUGGCCGCCCCCCGUGCUGCAAUGCUAUUUAAUCCACACGACUCUCGGCAACGGAUAUCUCGGCUCUCGCAUCGAUGAAGAACGUAGCGAAAUGCGAUACCUGGUGUGAAUUGCAGAAUCCCGCGAACCAUCGAGUCUUUGAACGCAAGUUGCGCCCGAGGCCAUUCGGCUGAGGGCACGCCUGCCUGGGCGUCACGCAAAACACGCUCCCACCCCCUCAUCGGGUAGCGGGACGCGGCAUGUGGCCCCUCGUAGCGCAAGCUGCGGUGGGCCGAAGAUAUGGCUGCCGGCGUAUCGUGCCGGACACAGCGCGUGGUGAGCGACCUCGCUUUACUUACCGCAGUGCAUCCGGGGCGUAGCCGACGUGAUGGCCUCCAAGGACCCUUUUAACGGUGCGCACGACGCUCCGACCGCGACCCCAGGUCAGGCGGGACUACCCGCUGAA
rnacentral:rRNA from 1 species